GUCUCCCAGAUUUCUCUUUGCUUUGCUUCCGACUCACAGCCUGGCUGUUCCUGGGCAGUUUGUCACUAGAGCCUUCCCUAUGGUUCCAAGGACAGAGCAGGGAUCUCUGCCUCCUCUCUUACUCUCCUCGGCUCUAACUGGCUCCCCUUUUUACAGAAGGCAUAUAAAAGAGAGUACCAUGAAACCCUCUCUCAUAUGGUAGCUCUCAACCCGCUGCUUCCACAAACUCGAGCCAAAGCUCCUACCCCAUCCCGCCCCUUCUCAGGCAUACCUUCUCUGCAUCUUCUCACUUUUGUGUACCUUGGGUCAUCCCAUCCCCCAGUGUCCUCACUUCUCACAUCCUCCUGUUUGGCCAUCAUGACCCUUUCCAGUCGGAUCCGGAUCCACAGAUCUUUCUUCCGCAGAUCCUUUCCCUUACCAGACUCCACACUCAGCCAGCCUCCCCCUUCAGACUAUCUACUCAGAUGCCUCCCCCGUCAGAUUUCCAAUUCUUCAGGCAAACUCCUAGUCACACCCACUGUGAUCUCCUCUGACACUCUUCGGAUUCGCGAUCCUCUCAGACGCCUCCUCCAUCAGACCAGCUAUUCCCUCAAAUACCUCUCAAGUCCUGAUCCCCUCAAGACUGAUCCUCCUCCGACCAGAUGCCCUCACCCCGAGCCUCCUCCAUCGCACCACAUUGCCUUAACCUGAGCGCGCGCCUUGCCUUUACCUGCAGCCUUCGGGAGGCACUGAUCGUAGUCUGCUGGACGAAGGGGUUGGGCACCGGCGGCGGGAAGAAGGACGCCUGGCGAGGUACCAUGGGUGGCCGCAGCCCGGCGUCCCCGACGCCCGAACCCGGGACCGUAGCCGCCACAGCGGCCGCCUCGGCGCAUCGGUUCAUGAUGGAUCCAGGUGCCCGACCCGAGCAAAGCGGGGACCCGAAGAGAGCGGCCGAAUUCACAGUCCCAACCUCAGAACCAGAGACUCCCAGCCCCAGGCGCCGCUCCCGGCUUCUGCGCAGGCGCCAGAGUCACCUAGCCACUAGCUGCCCCGCCCUCCGGGACGCACCCCGGGCUCUGGCCCCGCCCCCUAGGAACCUGCUUUUGGAACACACCUCUUGGAUCCCAAUCUACCGACUCUCUGAUCCCGACCAACCACUUUCCUCUGGGCCCUGCUGCCUCUCCUCGGGAAGUCUGUCCAGGUGAUCCUUUAAUGGCUCUUAGAAGAGGAGCAGGUGUGGCUGCUGGGGCUGUCUUUCUCGGAAACUGAACUGCUAUUUGGAAAAGGCAAAAGCAGCUGGCUCCCACCGGGGAUGAGGAACCGGACCCACAGAAGAGACGUGAUUGACGCAAUCGUUAGGAUCCGCUCUCAGUGUAAAAGAAACAAAUGGUUAAAGGGAAAGUAAACCUCCAACAGACCCCAUACCUACAGCAAGGGAAUUGCUGCUGCGUGCGUCCCAGUUCUUCCUCAAGAAGACCAAAACGACCUCUGUGUCUAGGCUUUUCCCAGUGUAGAUCAGGCACAUAAGCCUACUCACUCUGGAGUUCUUAGUUUAGCACCUCUGACCUUUCCAGCAUGCAUCCUCUGUGCCUUACAUUGAGCAGAGAUUUGUUUUUUUAAGCACACCCCCACUACCCCCACCGCUGGCCGCUGUGAACUGCUAAAACAGAGCCAAACACUGUCACUCAAUGGGUGUCUUUAUUUAUACUUGUUUGCCAUUUCCCAUGGGGAACUGUUAAAGGGAGAAGCAAGAAGGCUGAGCAGGAAGCCACUGACUUGGUUCUCCUCCAUCCAGUGGAGGAAGUGACUGGGCAUGAUCUGCACAGAGUGAGGAGGGGAACCAUCACUAGGCGGGCUGAGAUGCAUCAUGCAGCGAUGUCAGACAACCCGAGUCCUUUGGGCAGGAAAUGCAGUGGAGUGGAAAACUGAAAAGGUUGAAGGAAACGAGCGAAGGGCAUACAAAAGCAACAGUUAAGGUGGUGCAGGUGUCUGGGCAGCAGAAAGGGUGAAACCAGGUGUCUCUGAUUUCCACCUUGGCACACCUGUACCCCACUGCCCCAUGCCAGGCUGUUAACAGGGCCACCAGUGCCCUCCUAAGCCAGUCUCUAUUAACUCUGAGAGUGCUGAAAGCCAUAAAAAGGUCAUAGAUGUUGAAGAACCAGAAGAGUGGAGCACCAGGGCAGCCCAGAGGAGGGCUGCAUUGCAAAUAUCCAAGCAUCCCCUAGGGUGGGCAGGAAGGAGAAGCAGCACCCGGGAGGGUACAGUCAGCACCUUUCUUUGGGCACAAAAAGAAGCCACCCUCUUAAAUCUGAAGUCACCAGGUGAAGGAGAAGGCUGGUUAACUACAGAGGAGGACAGAGCCGCCAGGCUGCUUCACAUCCUUCACCUGGUGUGCAGCGAUGAAGAUGAUAGGGCCCGUGGGAACAGGGCCAGCUCAGCAGCCCAGCCAGUCUGAUUUGAUGCUUCCAAACUUCACGCUCUUGAGACUUUGGUUCUCCAGCUUCAGGUAAUAAGCACCCUUGAAGAAGUAGCUAUGACCUAAGAGAGAGAGAAAGAAGAGAGACUGGACCCACUCUGACCUUACGUGAUACGCAGGAGGUCCCUGGGAGCUGCUAAGUCUGCUUGGCAUGGGGAAGCAGCUUUUCAACCAGGGAAGACCCUCUGGAGGAAGGGAGGAAUGUGAGGAAUGGCUUGGAAGUUAGGUCUCUUAGUAGCUGUACCUCUAAGCCAGGGAUCAGGGUACCAACUUCUUAGAGCAGCGGUUCUUGACCUGUGGGUCUUUACCCUUUAAUACAGUUUCUCAUGUGAUGACCCCUCCCCAGCCAUAAAAUUAUUUCAUUGCUACAUAAUAAGUGUAACUUUGCUACUGAUAGAAUCAUAAUGUAAAUAUCUUUUUUCCAAUGGUCUUAGGCAACCCCUGUGAAAGGGUCAUUUGAUCCCCCUAGAGGGGUCAAGACCCACAGGUUGAAAACUACUAACUUAGAAUUUGUUAUGAGAUUAAGUUACUCAAUAUUUGCUACUGGUGACAACAGCACCUUUCUGAGCACAAGCCAAACACAUAUAUCAUAUAUCAUGGGAUGGGGAGCAGAAGGCCCAUAUUUAAGUAUAAAUAUAAAUAAAUGUAAAUAUGAAUAUGAAUCUAAACAUAAA
rnacentral:lncRNA from 1 species